UACGGGGGAGCAAGCGUUGUUCGGAUUUACUGGGCGUAAAGGGCGCGUAGGCGGCCACCGCAAGUCGACUGUGAAAUCUCCGGGCUUAACCCGGAAAGGUCAGCCGAUACUGCGGGGCUAGAGUGCAGAAGGGGCAACUGGAAUUCUCGGUGUAGCGGUGAAAUGCGUAGAUAUCUGGAGGAACAUCAGUGGCGAAGGCGACACCCUGGACUCAUACUGACACUGAGGUGCGAAAGCGUGGGGAGCAAACAGG
rnacentral:rRNA from 1 species